rnacentral:lncRNA from 1 species
CUCCCCUCGCGCUCAGCCCCGCGCCGUAGCAAAGUCGCGGCGGAACGGCGUGCGCUGCUCCCUUCGGACGAGCAGUCUUUAUUUUGUAAUCCCACAUCCCGUGGGUUGUGAUAAUCCGAGAGCCCAAUCUCCUCCUCCUGUUUUGCACUUGGAGCGAUGUGCCCUGGGACACAUGGAACGAUGUGCAAAUCGCUCAUGGAAAAAGAGGGGAUGGAUGAAGUCAGGCUGUGAAGGACCGCAUCCAGCAGCAGACCUCCCCUGGCAGAGGCUCUCUUGCUCCCUUGGCUGGGACGAAGUGCUGUGGCUGCAGGCAUAUGGGGCACACUGAGACAAACCGAGCAGCUUUUUGAGAAUGUCCUGAGACCCUUGGCAAUGGAGAGAGAUUGCAGUGCAAGCACUUUUCUGGAUUACUCUGUCACCGAUGUCAAAUCAAAGCAUCAAGGAUAUAAAUCUUCAGUAAACAUCUGGCCUCACUUCAGCCAGGUUAUGCAAUGCCUCAAGUACAUUCAGCAGCAGAUUAUGCUGCGUUCUCCAUUUGUGCAAUGCAAGCUAAUGUGAAUAUCAAGUCACAUCAGUGGUCUAGACAAGUAGUUGGGAGAUAAAGACAGCAACCCAAAGCGGGAAGUUUGGCCUCUCAGGGCACGUCAAGGGAAAACUGACAUGUCACUGAAGACCCAGAAAGAAAGAAUGCCAGAGAAGAGGUAAAUCAUAGAAAAGCCUAAGCAUCACCUCUGCUCAGAUGGAAGAAGAAAAAAAGAAAAAAAAGCCAGACCCAAACCUUGCCCACCUGGGCAUCCUGCGUGGGAUGGAAUCCAGCCCUGCACUGCCCAGCAAUGGGUCUCCUCCCUGCUUUGUGCAAAGGAAGAUUAAGCAGAAGGGAUAAGAAAAGACAGGGGAAAAAAAUGCAUUUCUUUGCAGUAAACACAGCCUGCAGCCAUCGGUUUCUCUCAGCAUUGGAUGGCAAUUAUUUCUGUGUAAUAAGCAGUCACCCGAUGACCCUCCCCUUCAGCUUGCAACGCUUCUGCUGUCAAGUGUUAAUCCCUUUGUUAGCUACUCAGCUGCACAUUCAUUUAGGAGGACUAAUGACUUACACUGUUCCUUCUCUGCACGAUUUCAGCAGACGUGUAAUUAGAGGUGAAUGGCAGCUUCAGAGGUAUGGCUACCACUGGGGCCGGGGGCAAAGUCAAAGUGUUUGUCUGAUUUCACCAUGGGCUGUUUCAGUGAGUGAAACCAUGUGGGCGGCUGCAUAUGGGGGGGAAAGGAAGUAGGAAAGGAGAAGCCAAAAAAAAGGGAAAGGAUAAGAGUCAGUUGUUGGGCAUUUAGGGAGCUCGGAUGUGAAAAGGAACGUGUUUCCAAAUAUUUCUUUGUUGGGGUGUGAGACUGAGCUGAAUGCCAGCGAGGAGCCUGUUGGCACACAGACUGAGAAGGUACCGAAAGGGUGAAAAGCUUUGUUUCAAAGUGCUGGAGAUCCGUAGUCGUUAGCAGAGUGAGUGUGAGAGCCAGAAAGUGAUUAAAAAAAAGUAUUUUGAAGGUGAGCUGAGGAAGUGCUCGCGUGCCUCCGCAGUGCCUUACAGAAUACAGCCUCUAUUUUUUUUUCUAAGUGAAAGCCAUCGAGGUCUGCAACACCUUGAGAAACAUCCUGUGGCUCUUACACCAUGGGAAGAUGUCCUUUUGAAGUGCAAGUGAAUCCCUGCGUAUGUAUUAACAUCACAGGAUGCAGUAGAAAAGUAUAACAGGGAGCUGAGGUUCUGAUGGAUUUCAGCGCUGAAGAGGAACUCGAGCAGCCUCAGAGAUGACACACGUUGGGCUUCCAUCUCCCCAGCAAUGCAGCCGUGUCGCCACUGUUGCUGUGCAGCCGGCAGGGACAGGACAUGGUGUGGCUGACAGCCCUGGGGAUGAGGACAUCCAGUUCUGAGGGACUUGCGGUCUGCUGGUAAGCAAACACACUGUCUGGCAGUGCUCAGUGGUGUCCUUCUGAAAAACCUUGUGUGCAAUUACAUGGCUCACAGCUACACACAGGUAGAGCCGGGUGAACACCAUUUCUCAUCUAUGUAUUCCAAGAGCAUCAGUGGUGCCCAUCCUCACUGUAUGCCUCCAGCAUGGGAGGGAGAGGAUUAAUUAAAUGGACCUCAGAACGCUGCCUCUGCUUGCCACCCUUCGUAUGUCUGAACUGGAGCCCAUCAGUCAGCCUCUGUUGGUGCCGAUGGAACACCCGGGCAGCACUCGGGACAUCAGACAAACCUGUGGGAGGGGAAGACAGUUACAGUCUGAUUUUUGGAUGCUUGAGGUGAAGAAACAGGCUCUGCCCGUGCAGUCACAGAUGGUAAGGCUGUAGGGUUUUAAAAUACACACUAAAUCAGUAUUCUGUCCUCUCUGAGGCGAGUGUGUCAGCAGCGUGUAGGAAACGUGACUGGGAACUCUAGGAUGUCACUGCAUACUUUUAAAAGCCUUCUGGUAAGAAGUUGCCAAAAGCAUAUGGUCUCUAUUAAUAAGGAUAUUUAGCAUUUUUCUUCCUAAUUUAUUCACGGGUAAUUAUUUGCUUACCUAGCUUGAAGUGGGCUGGAAUCCAGCUCUUAUCUGUUGUGGAAAGCUGUCACACUUCGCUCUGCCUUUCUCCAGCCCUCACUUGAGAGCAGCUAUGCAUCUGGCCAAGCAAAGCUGCCCUGCUCCUUCUCUCUUAUAAUAAAUCAGAGUCUUGCCUGGCCAUUACAAACUUUAGUUUCUAAAAGCGGUGUGAAAAGUACUUUUCAAAGUACUGUGACAGUAAGAAAUAGAUUCGGCUGCUCCUCCUGUUGGCUGCCUGCUCCCUGCCAGGACAGCUGGCUCUUUCCAGGUCUGUGCCCACAUCACUGCAGUGCCAGAACAUCACCUAACCAACGCUUCAGAGACUCCGUUUUGUCCCACCUCUUCUGUUGCUGCGUUCAAAUGUUAAAGAAAAUACAAAGGAAAAAAAACACCUCCCUCAGAAGUUCUCAUCAAAGGUUUACUGGUCAGAGCCCGGGCUCUGUCUCAAAACUCUGCUGCUGUUCUUUCUAUGCGUAUCCUUCUUUCACUGCUCCCUGCAGUAAUCAGAAUCCCAAAUGCCUUCUUUCUGAUGAGGAUUAAGCCAUGACCUGCACAUGAUUGCAGGAAAUAAGCCUUUAAAAUAUGCCCAAAUGCACCGCUUGUUUGAAGUCACUGAUCCUUAAAAUAGAUGUCUGAAAAAAUGUGUAAUUUCAAAUGCUUCUGCAGAUAUUGUUCCAGUAUGUGUAACAAGGGGUCGCAUCGAGCCAACUUACAUCAGUUGUGCUCCAUUAUAUCACGAACUGAGCAAAUGGAUCCAAAUAUACAGUAAUACUUCAGCUGCUAAUGAAAGCCUUGUACAGUUCCUUUCUCUAGAUACCUCUAGCGAGAUGGUGAGAAAAUACCUGACUUCUUUCUUUUCUUUUUCAGGGACCUUAUGAGAUAUUGGUCAUGAAGUGCCAUCAUGGAAACCUCUGCAGGAAGCUCAAGCUUCAGGAAUCCUAAGGUACUAACUGUCAUUUAUAGGUCCUGUUCCUCUCGCUGGUGAAGCUCUUUUGCUAUCAUUUGAUAUAUCGAAUACAUGGAUAGUAGUAGAACAGUAUUGUUGCCUCCUCAGUCUCAAGGCAAAACAUAACUUGGUCCUACUUAAUAUUAAUUUAAUGUUAACAAAAUCAAGAUAAGUUCAGAAGUUUCACCUUGACUGAGGUUCUCAGCUCUCAUGCUUGUGUGCAUACAAACUGCUGAGAAAAACAUUUCAGGCUUUUCCACAGCGAUGAUCAAAGAAAAAUCACAAAUGCAGUGGACUUCAAAGCAAAGGGGCAAUGGCCCAGCCUUCACUCAGUCAGUGCGCACAAAAUGGAAGGGCCCAUUACCUGUAGAUGGGAGAGGAGCAGAGCUAAGCCGCAGGUAGGUUUGUAUUUGAUAUCAUCUACUGACAGUGACGGGUCACAGCAUUGCCACAGCUGAAGGCUGUUGAGGGCCACCACAGAGCCUCCCAGCAGCAGUUCAGAUGCUGCAUGCUAUUUAUUUGCGUGCAAUUGGAAUCCACCCUACUAGUGUGCAUCGCUGACAGAUAGGAGGAAAGGAUUCACUGCAAGCACUGAGCCAGCACCGACAAGCUGGGAGGUGAAAACUCAGGAGCUUCACUGAAGGCAGCUGAAGCCUCCACUGCUGCACAUUGUGGUGCCUGCAGAGUCACAGAGAAAUAAAUCUUGGUUAAAUUUUUGAUGAGCUUUCAGCUGCUGUAAAUAAUUAACUAGGGCCUCUCUCGUUUGAACACGGGUGCAACUUUUCAUGUUUCAAACGCUUCCUGCCUCAGUCCCAGGGGAUUGCUCAAGUAAUUCAGGUCAUUCUUUCUUUUAUUUAUUUGCAGCAUCACCGGUCCAAACAAAUUUUGAACUUUCAAGCUGGGAAGGGAGAAAGCAUUUUCUUCUUGAUUUUACUCCAGGUAAAUCCCCAAGGGAGCACGUGUCUCAUUUGCAGUAGUUGAAUAAUAGAGAUUGAUGGGUUAAUCAGUUCCCAUACCAUUUAUGGAGUAAUGCUGUGCGCUCAUAGAUGAAGUCUUCAUGUUUCUCAAGUCUGCUGUUUCAAAGAUGAGAGCACAGGACAGCUUCAUACAGACAGAUGCACUAAGGAGAGCAUCCCUGUGUGUCCCCCCCAGCUAAAGCACAUUGGGCUGAUCCCGCUUUUGACAGUGCGAGUACUGAAGUCAGUCCUGCAUCACCACCAGGUAAGCAGCACAAAAAAUGAGGUCUGAAGAACAACUGAUUUGUCCCUUCAUUAGGUGUCAAAAGGAGCUUGGAUAUUGUUUUAGGUGGAAACUCAUGCAUAGAUGAAGUGGGUGUAAACUGUAUUAAAUAUUGGAUUCAAACUCCAGAUUAGGGGUUUUGAUGUCCUAUCCCAAGACUUUAAUGUCUAAAUUGAACUACUAAAAUAGCUCCUUCCUCAGGACUCCAUCCUGUCCCGCUUAGUUCUAUACCCACACACAACAGGUCACCUACCACUACUGUGGUCUGAGGCUGAUUUGGAUUUACUGCAGUGUCAUACUUUCUGUUUCAAUGCCUAUUGAGUAUGAUUUAUUACAAUGACAGACCACGCUACUGUUUGCAAUGCAGGCCGAAUUCAUUCCCACUUUUUAAUACAGUUUCUCACAUCAUCUCCAGCAUUUGAGAGAAUGUAUAUUUAUUUUAAUCACCGUGUACUGAAUAUGUAAUUUUUUUCCUAGGUAAAAUUUCCCUUUAAUAGAGGCUGGGUUAUGACAGAGCAAUUAUUUGAGUUAUGUGCACAUUACAGAAUAAUUUAACAUCAGCUUUUGGGUCAAUCUUUUUUAAUUAUCUAUUUUAUCAACUGGUUUUGACUAGCAGUUUAAAUAAUUGUGUUUGCCUAAUAUCUGGAAAUCUAAUUGCUUUUAGACAUCCUUUAUUCCAAUCCUGGUGUUGUUACCGUCUUGCAUACGGUGCAUGUUGGCACCUGUCUGUGCAGUGACAGAUUUGUGGUGACAGCUUAUAUAACUUAUUUAUAAAAUGAUGAAUUAUUUUUGAAUUUAACUUCAAGUUCACAGACUGGAAAAGUGGAGAAACACCUGCUUGCUGCAGAGGAUCUGCUAAGGAAGUCCAAAGGGAAACUAUGCACAGAGGGGAAAAGCACAGGCCAAGUGAAACAGAACCAUGUGGGUCAUCGUUAUGCUGUUCCAGGUAGGACUGUGGAUACCAAAGCAGGGAUGGGGUGACGGGGCGACCAAAGGAACAAAGGAACAGGCCCACAACCACAACAUCAUAGCAGGAAUUUUACUUACCUUCAGCCUCAAGAGGACAGAGAUUGAGGGGAAUGACAAAGAGAAACAAAAGAUAGGAACUUGUUCCGGGACAAAGGGAUGUUACUAUUUAUGAACCUGCAAGAGAAUUAGAGCUGAAAUACUUAGACAGAAAAAAAAAAAAAAAAAAAGAGAUUUUAAUUAAUGGUGAUAACUCUUAGAAAAAGAACCAGAUUGCCAGCCCUGAAAACUGCCAAUUCUUUUUAUCCACAAUGUAUACACAACCUUGGGGAGGCUGCUGCUAAGAGCCCCAGCACAGGACAUUGCCCUGAGCUUAGAGAAGUCCAACAUCUCAGUGGUCACACACUUUGGCUUUUGCUGCAGCUGCACUUUACAACAUGAGUAGCUGUGCACUACAUCAAUUCCAUGAUACAAUCAGAUCCAUUGACAUGGACAAUUUGUCCCUAAUGACUUGAGUCAGCCUACAAAGGUUACCAAGAAUCACAAAUCCUACUCAGAUAAACGUAGAGUAGCACAGGUCCCAUUCAAGGACCAAACCUAAGGAAGUCAUGGUAAAUGGAUUACCAAGCCCUUCUAAUACCUAGGGACAUUCUUAUUUAAAAAUAAACUAUAAAAAUAAAGAAAAAUGACUCCUCAUUCAGAUCAAGUCAUUUUGGUUAAAUUCCUAUUAUCCUGUUUAAACAGCAUCCUUUUAUCCCAGUUUUGAGGAGCAUCAUAUCUGUGGGGGCCACAAGGCACAGAAUUUGGCAAAGCAGCAACUGCAGAAUUUCUUCCUGAGUUAGAAGAGAGGGGGAGGGAUUGUUUUUUUUAGUUGUUAAUACAUUCUGGAGCAAUGAGGUGUUAGCAGAAGCCUUUCACCAUCUCCCUCGACAUCCUGUUCCCCACCCCUCUGCAGCUGGAUGGGAACUCACCUCCCAGCAGUUCUAGGCAGACAGACUGGGGUAACAAAUCCCCUGGUAGAAAGAAAUGCAAUCUGACUGAUCCCUGAAAAUGUAAUUUCUAGUUCACGGGGGCUAACAGAUGCAGGUAGCUCAAGCUAAAGCAGAAGGGUACCACCUCACCACAGCUUUCUUACGGGAUGGAAAAGCAGUGAUCUUUACUACUAGAGACUGAUAUUGCAUAGAUUAAGUCAAAUGUAUCAACUUCGCUUUAACAUGAGUGUUUCUAUUACCUGGGUCAGAGAGUCUGUGCAGUCACUCUCCAGAACCCGCUGUUAUUAAUUCAGCAAUUAUAGCUUUAUGGUGGCAGGGAUUCCUCGGUGUUUGAGCUGGCGCUGGAAAGCUGUAAUUCUGAAUGGAACAUGACAUGAAUUACUGGAUUGCUGUAAUUCUUCAGCUUUUCAUGCAUUUUCACUGCAUAUAUUAAAAUACAGCAAGCAAUUCACUUUUAAUUAUGUAAAUUCCAAGACAGUAAGACAAGAGAUGGAUGAGUUUUUAAAUGCCUGCUCUGCCUGACCACCUGUGGCUAGCACAGAAAGCCAUGGGCUCAGCAGGUCACCCUGCCCUCCGCACUCCUCCUCUCCCGGCUGUGCACAACACCGCCUCUUUUUAGUAUUCAGCGGUACUUCGAGAGCAAAGAGCACAGGAAAGAAAUGGCCAGAGGGGGGCUGGGAAAAGUCAGAUCCUGUCCACCUGCCUCCCUCACUUCUCUGGGUUUCCAAACAGACGAUACAUCACUGUUCUGACAUCAACAUAAGACCGCAAGGGCUGCAGAUAUUUACUGCUCUCUUAUUUGGCAAUUAUCUUCUCAAUGUUGAGAUGUUAUUAACAACUUCACCAGAAUAUAUGAGUCAGGAUCAUAAUUCUACAGCUCUAUGCCUGGCUUCUUUGCUGCUCCUUAGCAAAGCUCAUGGCUGCAACCAGCAGCACGUCCAUGCACAAGUCUGUGCAGUUAUUGUAAAGGAG